AAAUCCAUUAUUCAAGAGUAUACAAGAGGCACACAUUGCAUCUGAACAUUAUUUUACUAUUACAAGAUUAUACAACUCAUCAAUAAACUUACAUGAAACCCCAUAAAGCAUAAAUCCCUCACCCCUCCAAAACUGCUAAAGUAAAGCUUCUUAACUACAAUCACAGGAAAUGCAAAUAUAGCAAAUAAAUAAAAGUCAACUUAGAACUUCAGCUGCAAAACCCUCAGACGAUCGAUUAACAGGAAUAAAGGAUGAAGGUGGUUUG
rnacentral:misc_RNA from 1 species